UGGACAGAUUAUUGUAUUCGAUUGUAUUCACGGCGUGAAACAGGGGAUUACACAGUUUUUAAACGGAAAGUGAAUCAAUUAAUAUAAUAGACUCCU
rfam:Nicotiana attenuata strain TT chromosome 1, whole genome shotgun sequence.